UUAUGCUUAUUUAUUUAUGUGAAAUUUCUUAAAUAUCUAUUUGACAGUAAAUGUUUACCCUUUUCAGCGUUCCACCAUAGUUCAUAAAAUGGCUGUAUUAUUUUAUGUAAUUCAGUAAUAUUAAAUAAUUAUUUAAAAAAUUCAAUAGGUGCAUUACAAAUAUUAUUAGGUUGCAUGAAGUUACUUGUAUCUUAAUUUUAGACAAACAUUGUUAGUUAAAUUUAGUCCAUUUGAAUUAAUACUCUUACACUACAUGUUUGCGCACUAAUGUAAUGAAGUUACUCUUCAGUUGUGUAGCUAAGUCACUAGGGGGCGCUGAUGAGGGUAUGUAUAGAGGGUGUAAUUUCCCUUUAAAUAUGCCACUUCCUGUGAGAGGAAUAGUUGCAGUGAAGAACCACAUAUAAACAUUUCACUCAGUAGAGCAGAAGGAAAACAUUUAAUUUUAGAAGCGUGUAAUAAGAAAUGGCAGACAGUUUGGGACUCAUGUCAUACAGGUCGGCAUUAUUAUAAGGUACAAAAAACAUAAAGCGAGGCAAUAUAAUCCACAACUUAAGUAGAAGAGAACAAGUUAUUUUCACACAUUUAAGAACAGGACAUUCAAACCUAUUACACAUUAUAGGGAAACAUUACACAGGUUUAUGUGAAGUAUGUUCAAUAGAGGAGACAGCAGAACAUAUAUUGAAGAAAUGUAAGGCGUAUAAUAAAGAAAGGAGCAUUCUUAAGGAAGAAUUGCAAGCAGUAGGGUGCCAGGAAUUCACUAUAACCAAAUUAUUAAAUGAUGGUUCAAAUUCAGGAAAACAAAUAAAGGCAAUCAUGAGGUUUAUUAAGAAUAGUGGGUUAUAUAAUAGGAUUUAGAAUUUAGUUCAUUCUUUUCACACUCCAUCACAGUAGGUGGCGGUAUGCACCUUUAAAGUUGGUUCGCAACCUGCCAUAAAACCAAAAGAAGAAGAAGAAGAAAAAUAGUUGCAGUAGCUGAAUUGUUUGGCAUGGUCGCUGGAAGAACAAGCUCUGUUGGAUUGUUUUAGAAGUGAGGCCUAAACGCCCCAAUGCUGAUAAAGUUUGGUUGGAUGAGUGGUGAAUACUGAAUUAUCAUCACAGCACAGAAGUUGCUUUAUAGGCUCUCAUGUUUUGCCAUGUGGAGUUGGAUGAGCGAUGGGCAUUAACCGCUGCUGUAUUUCCUGGGGCUUCUGAAGUUAGCCAAAAGAGAGGUGGCAAGGUGCGAGAGGAUUACUUCCUGUAUCAGAACCCCGAGCCACAGCUGUAUGUAAUCGGGAACAAAGUUGAGAUUAUGGAAACAGACAGAGGUUCAAAAGAAGGAGACCUUCUCAAUCAAGAACUGCGAAUCUCUAGACUCUGUUGCAGAGCGGCUUACGCUCAGCAUAUACAGUGGGACCUCUAGGAAAAUGAGCUCCCAAUUUCACUGCCAGAAACGAAACAAGGAUUGCGAGCAGAGAGAAGACAAUUGUCCACUUGGCUCCAAAGCGAAAUCUUGAUAUGGACCACUGCACUCAUUGGCCUUCUGACCUCUGCAACAACAAAAUUCACUUUCAAAUGGUGUGUUGCUAUCUGUUCCAAAUCAAAGGAGCCCUACCAUCUACAAUAUUUCUCUGCGUUGACCAACAGAGAGCAGCUUGGUUUGAAAGUGACUUCUGUGUGAGCAGCAUGUGCUUCAUAAAUCAUGAAUAUUGACCGCAGUGAUCACACCUCAAAGGAUGGAUGGCACACUGAGUUUCAAGCUUGACUGUUUGUAUGUGCAACAGCUGACUUUGGGACUUCUGCCGGCUUAGUUCCAACUCCAAUAAUGGGUCUGGUGGAGAUGGCAGCUCAGUGGAAUCUUUGCUGAAUGGCUCCUCGGGUUUUUGUCUGCUCCGCUUCCUCACCCACAGAAACU